rnacentral:rRNA from 1 species
AUUGAACGCUGGCGGCAUGCCUUACACAUGCAAGUCGAACGGUAACAGGUCUUCGGAUGCUGCCGAGUGGCGAACGGGUGAGUAAUACAUCGGAACGUGCCUCGGCGAGGGGGACAACUACCCGAAAGAGUGGCUGAUACCGCAUGAGAUCUACGGCAGAAAGCAGGGGAUCGCAGGCACUUGUUCUACUAGAGCGGCCGAUGGCAGAGUAGGUAGUGGGUGGGAUAAAAGCUUACCAGGCCGACAAUCGGUAGCGGGUCUGAGAGGACGAUCAGCCACACUGGGACUGAGACACGGCCCAGACUCCUACGGGAGGCAGCAGUAGGGAAUUUUGGACAAUGGGCGCAAGCCUGAUCCAGCAACGCCGCGUGCAGGAUGAAGGACUUCGGGUUAUAAACUGCUUUUGUACGGAACGAAAAGCCCUGGGUUAAUACCCUGGGGUCAUGACGGUACCGUAAGAAUAAGCACCGGCUAACUACGUGCCAGCCGCCGCCGUAAUAC